GCUGCCGUGAUCGUGGUCUGC
rnacentral:siRNA from 1 species